GACCUUCGAAAAGACCACUGGCAGUGGCACACCACACCACACUCUGUCUGUUAAUAUAAUAUUAGCGUACUUUGUUGUUGGAGGUUGACAUGAAAGAUCCUACUUGGGUCAGCCAAAUUCCAAUCACACAAGUCCCACCAGAAGCAAUCUAUUAUUGAUCAAUGGCUUCUGUGCAAAUCCUGUGUGCAUGCACUUGUCAGGUUCAACUCCAGGGUUCCAUUAGAUAUAGAUAUGAUUAUGGUUACCCCCAUCACCAUGACAAGAUCAGUAAGCACAGGUAUUAUUCUAUCAGAGUAGUUGAUAGUGGGAAUGAGAUGGUUCUUUCAAAUUUAGAGGAAGAGAAAAGGAAUUUGAGAGUGUUGGUGGCUGGUGGAGGAAUUGGUGGCCUUGUGUUGGCUCUGGCUGCAAAGCAUAGAGGGUAUGAAGUGAAGGUGUUUGAGAAGGAUUUGAGUGCUGUUAGAGGAGAAGGUAGGCACCGUGGCCCAAUUCAACUAUUGAGUGGUGCUCUUGCUGUGUUGGAAACCAUCGAUCAGAGUGUUGCAAGGCAGAUAAUGGAGGCUGGCUGUGUUACUGCCAAUAGGACUAAUGGCCUUGCUGAUGGUCUAUCUGGGGACUGGUUCAGUGUGUUUGAUCUUUUCACUCCUGCUUCAAGGAAAAGGCUUCCUCUUACCCUAGUCAUAUGUAGAAUGGCACUGCAAGAUAUAUUAGUGAAUAAAGUUGGUUCCAACAUAAUUAGAAACAAAUCUAAAGUCGUGGAUUUUAUUCAGGAACCUAACAAGGUUAGAGUGAUCCUUGAAAAUGGAGAGCAACAUGAUGGUGAUAUUUUAAUAGGAGCAGAUGGAAUAUGGUCAGAAGUGCGUUCAAAACUCUUUGGGCAGCAAGAAGCAAAUUACUCGGGUUUCACAUGCUACAGUGGAUUAACAAGCUAUGUGCCCCCAUAUAUUGAUACCGUUGGGUAUCGGGUGUUCUUGGGCUUGAACCAGUACUUUGUUGCUUCAGAUGUUGGCCAUGGGAAGAUGCAGUGGUAUGCUUUCCAUGGGGAACCCCCUUCAAGUGACCCUUUCCCAGAAGCAGGUAAGAAGAAGAGGCUUUUGGAUCUCUUUGGUAAUUGGUGCGAUGAAGUGAUUGCACUCAUAUCAGAAACACCAGAACAUAUGAUUAUACAGAGGGAUAUAUAUGACAGAGACAUGAUCAACACUUGGGGAAUUGGGAGAGUGACUUUGUUAGGUGAUGCAGCACAUCCAAUGCAACCAAAUCUUGGUCAAGGAGGGUGUAUGGCAAUAGAGGAUUGUUACCAACUGAUACUUGAGCUAGACAAGGUUGCUAAACAUGGCUCUGACGGGUCUGAAGUUAUCUCAGCUCUUAGAAGAUAUGAGAAGAAAAGAAUCCCCCGAGUUAGGGUGUUACACACAGCUAGCAGGAUGGCAUCGCAAAUGCUAGUCAACUACCGGCCUUAUAUUGAAUUUAAAUUUUGGCCUCUAUCAAAUGUAACAACUAUGCAGAUAAAGCACCCUGGCAUUCAUGUAGCUCAAGCCCUUUUCAAGUUCACUUUUCCACAAUUUGUUACUUGGAUGAUUGCUGGCCAUGGGUUGUGGUGAACACUCAUGCAACUUGAAAAUAAAAAGGGCUCAACAAUUUUAACAUGAUGGUGGGCGAUUGAGUGUUUGUGAAGUUAAGACCGUGUCGUCAAGCAUCAGUAACGAGAGCUUCAUAUUCUAAGUUGACUAAAAGAUUUUUUGGGCCAUUUCAAAUACUGCGGAAGGUGAGUCCCUUGGUUACCAACUUCAACUACCACCUAACUCCCACAUUCAUCUAGUGUUCCACCACUCUCUUCUCAAGCCAUCCCACCUAAUACGCCUAGUCUAAUUGUAGAGCUACCACCUUCAUCAGUCAACAAUGAACCCAUUGUAUCGCCUUUAGCAAUCCUCAACACUAAAUUGGAGUCCUCAAAUGGAGCACCUAAGCUAUUGGUCUUGAUUUAGUGGAAAGGAUUGCCCCUGAUGAUGCCUUGUGAGAAUCAUGGGAUGAUCUCAAAGCCAAGUAUCACCUUGAGGACAAGGUGCUUUUCGAAGGACAUGAUAAUGUUAGGGAAGGAACUAAACAACCUUCACCAGAAGCACAAAAAACAGAAUCACAGCUAGCAAACACGAAUCAAAGGCCAAAGAGGUUGGUGACCAAGCCACAAUACCUGAAUGAUUUCAUGUAACUAACCCCGACAAGGGGUGCUAACCUGGCAGAAUUCUAUUGGCCCUCAAGCACAUUCUGUUUGUCAUUUCUCCUUUACGGUUAUUUAUCAAGAUGCUAGAAUCUUCUUUCUGUUA